GGGAUUGUGGGGGGUCGCAGCAGCUGCACCUAAUUUUGUAGUUUAAAAGUUAUAAAAAAUAAUUCGAAUUUAGCUUUUUUCCCCUUGUUUUAUAUACUCAUGUAAAUAAAUGGUACAUCAUGACAAGAAGACCCCUGUACUGCAGAUACAAGCUGGUGCUACCUAUAGCUAAUGUAUUUUUAGACUGAGAGUAAACUCUUAGUGUGACAUAAUCUGAACCCCCCAAUCAUCCUGCCACUUUCUUCUUCCAAAUUUGAACUCCUCAAAGCAGUGACGGACCACUCAGACAAUUACUGAAAGAGGUAGACAUUGCGGCAGCCAAUGAUUAGCUGAAUGGGCAGUUCCUGCUCGUACAAGUUUGUCUCAGAAGUGUGUCCGCUUUGUACCAGCGCUUAGUAGCGUACCUCCACUGUGGAAAGCAGCAGGAAGCCACCUAGUAUACACCCUUAAGAAACGAUCAUAUACCUCACAUGGAAGCCAGGAUGCGGAAGAACAACCAGCUAAUCCUUCCACUAGUGUGCAAGAAGAAAUUGGAUCACCCUGAAACCCAGAUGUUGAACAUGGAAAUGAAGAUGAAGAGCUUAUUACUACGCAAAAUAAUGUAAAUUAUGAAAUGUUACUCAAUCUUGUGCAAAUAUACAUGGCCAAAAAUGAGGAACACCAAAAACAAUAUAUGGAGAGCCUUAAUAAGGUUUAGGAUGUUGUUGAGCAGUCUUGCUCCAAAAUUUGUCAGCAGUUUAAUAC